AACGAACGCUGGCGGCAUGCCUAACACAUGCAAGUCGAACGAGACCUUCGGGUCUAGUGGCGCACGGGUGCGUAACGCGUGGUAACCUGCCCUUAGGUUCGGAAUAACUCCCCGAAAGGGGUGCUUAUACCGGAUAAUGUCUUCGGACCAAAGAUUUAUCGCCUUUGGAUGGUCCCGCGUUGGAUUAGAUAGUUGGUAGGGUAAAAGCCUACCAAGGCGACGAUCCAUAGCUGGUCUGAGAGGCUGAUCAGCCACACUGGGACUGAGACACGGCCCAGACUCCUACGGGAGGCAGCAGUGGGGAAUAUUGGACAAUGGGCGAAAGCCUGAUCCAGCAAUGCCGCGUGAGUGAUGAAGGCCUUAGGGUUGUAAAGCUCUUUUACCCGGGAUGAUAAUGACAGUACCGGGAGAAUAAGCUCCGGCUAACUACGUG
rnacentral:rRNA from 1 species